rnacentral:rRNA from 1 species
AUUGAACGCUGGCGGCAGGCUUAACACAUGCAAGUCGAGCGGAGAUGAGGUGCUUGUGCCUUAUCUUAGCGGCGGACGGGUGAGUAAUGCUUAGGAAUCUGCCUAUUAGUGGGGGACAACAUUCCGAAAGGAAUGCUAAUACCGCAUACGUCCUACGGGAGAAAGCAGGGGAUCUUCGGACCUUGCGCUAAUAGAUGGGCCUAAGUCGGAUUAGCUAGUUGGUGGGGUAAAGGCCUACCAAGGCGACGAUCUGUAGCGGGUCUGAGAGGAUGAUCCGCCACACUGGGACUGAGACACGGCCCAGACUCCUACGGGAGGCAGCAGUGGGGAAUAUUGGACAAUGGGGGGAACCCUGAUCCAGCCAUGCCGCGUGUGUGAAGAAGGCCUUAUGGUUGUAAAGCACUUUAAGCGAGGAGGAGGCUACUGAGACUAAUACUCUUGGAUAGUGGACGUUACUCGCAGAAUAAGCACCGGCUAACUCUGUGCCAGCCGCCGCCGUAAGAC